UUUCGUGAAAAACAAACAUAGUACCAGCGAUUAUUCCCAAAACUUAAUGUAGAUUUGUAAGAGGUUUAUUUGACAGUUCUAUAAAAAAAAAAUCUGUCAAAUUAAUCUAUUUCAAAUCUACAUUAAAUUUUUUUGAAUAAGGCCGAUGGAUAAUAAAUAUUUAUUUCAUAAAAGGAAAUUUUUUGGGAGCGAUUAUGUUAUCCAAGUUUUUUGCGUACCAGAAAUUGUCCAACUUGUUUCAUUCGCGAAAAAAAAUCAAUAAUUCGGCACAUCAAAACACAUCUAUGCACCUGUGAUGUCAGAAGAUGGUGGCCUCGCUCGCUCUCUCACUCGCUGACUGGCAAAAUACACAUGCAAUUGUGUUGAGGACAACAACAACAACAACAACAAAAAUACAGAAAAUGGCAAACAACGGCAUACUUUGAAAGAUGUGGAGGCAGACAAGGAAAUAAAAAGAAAAUAUGCAACUUUUCCAUUAAUCUAUUUUCGUAUACAUAACAACAAUAACAAAUGUACAACCUUUUCAGUUUAGUUUAUAA